AAGUCGAGCGAUGAAAUCUUGACAGAUCCCUUCGGGGUGAAGAUAAGAUGGAUUAGCGGCGGACGGGUGAGUAACACGUGAGUAACCUGCCUUAGACAUUGGGAUAGCCUCGGGAAACCGGGAUUAAUACCAAAUGAAAUCAUAGGUGCCCAUGCACUAAUGAUCAAAACUCCGGUGGUCUAAGAUGGACUCGCGUCCCAUUAGCUAGUUGGUGAGGUAACGGCCCACCAAGGCGACGAUGGGUAGCCGGCCUGAGAGGGUGAACGGCCACAUUGGAACUGAGAAACGGUCCAAACUCCUACGGGAGGCAGCAGUGGGGAAUAUUGCACAAUGGAGGGAACUCUGAUGCAGCGACGCCGCGUGAACGAUGAAGGCUUUCGAGUCGUAAGGUUCUUUUAUAUGGGAAGAUAAUGACGGUACCAUAAGAAAAAGCCCCGGCUAACUACGUGCCAGCAGCCGCGGUAAUACGUAGGGGGCUAGCGUUGUCCGGAAUCACUGGGCGUAAAGGGUUCGCAGGCGGAAAUGCAAGUCAGAUGUAAAAGGCAGUAGCUUAACUACUGUAAGCAUUUGAAACUGCAUAUCUUGAGAAGAGUAGAGGUAAGUGGAAUUUUUAGUGUAGCGGUGAAAUGCGUAGAUAUUAAAAAGAAUACCGGUGGCGAAGGCGACUUACUGGGCUCAUUCU
rnacentral:rRNA from 2 species